rnacentral:tRNA from 2 species
GCGCCUGUGGCGAAAUUGGUAGACGCGCCAGACUUAGGAUCUGGUGUCUCGCGACGUGUAGGUUCGAGUCCUAUCAGGCGCA